UUUCCGUAGGGAACCUGCGGAAGGAUCAUUAUUGUAUAACCGAGGUGCGAGGGCUGUCGCUGACCCGAAAGGUCGUGCACGCCCGAGUGCCCUCACACACAUCCAUCUCACCCCUAUGUGCACCACCGCGUGGGUCCCCCUUUGGCUUGUUCGGAGGGGGGCUUACGUUUUCACACAAACUUUGUAUGCAGUGUAGAAUGUAUUUUUUGUUUUUGCGAUCACGCAAUCAAUACAACUUUCAACAACGGAUCUCUUGGCUCUC
rnacentral:misc_RNA from 1 species